CCUCUCCCCAGCAACAGCUCCCACUAGCUCCGUAAUUGGCAGGAAAGUGUGACAACAUUGAUACUAGUUUGCUUAUGUAAGUGGAGAAUAUUUAUUGUAUGAUCCAGGAAGAAAGAAGGCAGACGUAAGGACUACGUGUUGCUGUGAAGGACUUGUUUUUGAUCGAGACUUUUGCAUUGGAUAUGUGGAACACUAACCCAGGAAUGCCGCCUCAGCAACCUUACCCUCCUGGUCCUGGACCCUAUCCAGGACCAGGCAUGCAUCCACCCCCAUACCCAGGCUACCCUAGCCCACAUCCCCCACCUCCUGGCUAUCCUGGUCCAUGUGGGCCCCCUCCUCCCCCUCCCCACCACCACCAUGGGCACCAUGGGCACCAUCACCAUGGACCCCUCCACCAUUUGCUCCACCACCAUGGGCAUCAUCACCAUGGACACCACCACCAUGGGCAUCACUAACAUGGGCACAGCCAUCGUGGCGAAAAGCUCCAGCAGCAUCUUGGAUUCAGGAUGAAGAUGUCCUUUCCUGCUCUCAGGAGCAGCUCAGCUUUCCAGCAAUUUAGGCUACUAUUAAAAUUACUCUGGAGUUCUUCAGUAUCUCUGUGACACAUUGGUUGUUGUCCACUUCUUACUCAUUGGCACCAUUAAUUUAGUGUGAUUAAGUAAACAAUUCCAACAAAAAAUCAUAGUAGUCUAAUACAAGCUUUUAUCACUGUUUUUUCUUUUACAUUUUUAUCCCAAAAGAGAGCCACAUCUACCUCUGUAAAAAAACUGCAUUAUAUUAUAUUACUAGGUGACAAUGUAUGCUAUGGCAGUUCUUUAGCCCCCAAAUAUAUCAUUGCACAAUCAUAAAUUAAAUUAUUUUAAAGGUAGUAUGAAAAAUAUUGAUCAUGAUUGCAAUUUUGGCUCAAGUAAGGAUGUUAUUCAAGAAACCGCAUGAAUAUACAGUUUGAUUGCACAUUAAAUCCAUGGCAUCUUACAUCACAGCAUGUGGCAGUUUACACUCUUGCCUCAGAGAACACAGUUACACGGGGUGUUCAAUGCAAGGGAAAGUGUGUUUGUUGUAAUUAAAGGCAGAACAGAAUACUUUCGAUGGGAAGGUUGGAUACAUGGGAAAUUCACUGCAGUAUAGAAUGGGGACCUCAUUACAUUGCCUAUGGGAUUCCACACAUUGGGGCGAAUUCAUCAAGGCUUAGUGUGGAGUGUGGGGAACCCAUUGAAACACAACCCUCAUUGCCUGGCUUUCCUCCCAUCCCAUGUGGGGGGGGGGGAAGCGUCUGCCAACCGGAUUCCCCCAUUGACCCUAAUGUAACACAAUAAGCCUUCCGUGUUACCACCAUGGUGACAUAUAACAUUCCUACUUGCACCAUGGAGCCUUGCUGGAAGUAGUUUGACAUCAUGGGAUGGGAGGCGGCCAUCUCUGUGGUGCAAGUAGAGUAGGACCAUUGUAUGAUGGGCAAUUUAGCCCAUCUGAUGAGGUCGUAGGAAAAGUGCAGAAGAAACAUAUCAAUAUAGCGAGUUAAAAGACAAGGGUGGGUCCAGUGUUCUGUACAUGUUGACAGGAGGAAGGCAAAGGACGUGAUGCAGCUGUCGAUGCAAUUCUGACGUGCAUUCAUAAGUAUACAUUGUGAAGAUCAAAGUAUGUGUUUCAGCUUUUGUUAGACCUCACCUGCAAUACUAUGUCUGGCUCAGAACACAAAUGGUUCAAAAAGGAUUCUGACAAGCUAGAAUGUGUCUGGGAUCUGGAAACCAUGUCCUUUGAGGAACAACUCAGGGAAGUGAAAAGGUUUUGAAGCUGGAGUAAACUCUUUUUCAGAGUAGCCACCUCAUCAGAUUUUCAGCAGCACACACUGAUUCAGCUGUAGUUUAGCCAAAUGUAAGUAAAAAACUGCUUUACAUUUCAAAAGAACAUUCCCCUUUUAGAUUUCCAGUUAUGUAUGCACGUGUUUUACUGAAAAAACAGUAGAGAAAGACAAAAUACAUAUUUUUCUCUAAAACUUUAAGACCCUUUUGGCUUUUCCAUAUAUUUCUAGAUGUGUGUGUGUGUGUGUGUGUGUGUGUGUGAGAGAGAGAGAGAGAGAGAGAGAGAGAGAGAGAGAGAGAGAGAGAGAGGACACCAUAACACUAUAACACCAUAACAUUAUGACAUUGUAGCGACAGAACAGGCCUGGAAAAAGAUGUGGUGUUGGGGAGUCAACAAAGUUUUGGCUUCUCUGACAUCAUAGAGCCGUCAUUUGGUAUAGUGUUCCCUCACUACUUUGCAGUUCACUUUUGGUGGAUUUGCUGUUUUGCAGUUUUUCAAUAAACUCUAAAAGAAUAUUAUAAAUCAUAAAAAAUUACAAUUUACAGCCUAAGGAAGGGAGAGAAAAGGAGCCCAAGCAGCAAUGGAAAGAGAAGGAGGCGAUUUAUCAACACACAGUUGGUUGAUAAAGACCUAAAAUAGUGUAUAACUGCUAAAAUAAUGUAUACAUAUUAAAAUAAAUUUAGCAUUUUUACUUCACAGAUUUUCACUUAUUGCGGGUGGUUUUUCACUUAUUGCAGCUGACAGGGAGCCAGAGCUCCCUGUCAACCGUGGCCAUCCCAGCUCCUUCAAGGUCAAGCCAGUCCCUUCAAGGAUACCAUCCAUCCAACUUGCCCUUGGUCGGCCCCUCUUCCCUUUUCCCCAGCAUCAUUCUCUUCUCCAAGCUUUCUUCUCUUCUCAUGAUGUGGCCAAAGUACUUCAUCUUUGCCUCUAAUAUCCUUCCCUCCAGUGAGCAAUAGGGCAUUAUUUCCUAGAGGAUGGACUGGUUGGAUCUUCUUGCGGUCCAAGGCACUCUCAGAAUUUUCCUCCAACACCACAGUUCAAAAGCGUCUCUCUUCCGUCACUCAGACUAGCAGGAUAAUUGUGGGAAAUGUCAUAAACCCUGUUUUUAGGUCAAUAAAAUGCUUUUACAAUAGUCUUACAUGGGAGAACAACAGGAGAGCAAUGGUCUUAUAUUUGUGAUAAACACCGACAAAAGAUGCUAUUAUGCUGCUGUAAUUGUGAUCGACCUGCCUUGUGUGAUAAGGCUCUGUGGCUUUUGUUGUGAAGUCCUCAGAAUGCUUGGCAGAGUCAUUUUGU
rnacentral:lncRNA from 11 species